CCGUUUAGAUCAAAGCGGCGACGAGCGCGAGCCCGCCGCCGACGACUCGGCGAGCGAAGCGAACCCGCGGCGCCAUUUCCUGCUCCGCACGUGCCUGCCUCGACGGUUCCCGAGGCCGUCGCGAUCGGAGAAAAAGAAAAGAAAAGCGCAGGGCACCAGCGCCUUUUGCUCCUCCCGACCUCUUUAUAAACCCCGCCUCCCUCCACUCAUCUCCUCCCCACCCAGCUCACCACGCGCAGCAGCGAGCACCAAGCAGAGCAGGGGAGAGAGCAGAGCGCCAGCAGCCGUCCGAUCCUUCGCCGCAAAAGCAAGAGGCUGAUCCGAUGGCUCUCGCUCUCUCCGGCUCUUCCGCGCUCCGCGCCGCCCUGUCCACGCUGGCCCCGAGGGCCUCGGCCACCAGGGGCUACGCGGCGUCGGCGGCGUACGGGGCCAUGCGGCGGGCGGCUGCGGCCGCGGAGGGCGCCGCCGCGGGGGAGGCCAAGGAGGCCGGGCGCGGCGCCGCCGCCGAGAUCUCGUGGGUCCCCGACCCCGUCACGGGCCACUACCGCCCCGCCAACUGGGCCGCCGCCGCCGACCCCGCCGACCUCCGCGCCGCGCACCUCGCCCGCACCUACGCCAGGGCGUGAGGAGGGCCCCGUUUGCCGCCGUCUGAUAUAACAUACCAAAGGGGAAGGGGUGGUGGGGGUUCGUUUGGCUUGGCGUCGUCGUCGCGCGCGCUCCGGUGACGGCGGCGGGCCGGCAUGGCCGUGGAGGAAGUCCUCGGUUGGUUGGUCGCUGUGCAACUUGACGCCUCAACAUCUCGGCUCGGCCAAAGGGAGAAUGAAGAUACAAUACAAUACAGGAAGAGCGGCCUCCGGUCGC
rnacentral:lncRNA from 1 species